rnacentral:rRNA from 1 species
GAUGAACGCUGGCGGCGUGCCUAAUACAUGCAAGUCGAGCGAACGGACGAGAAGCUUGCUUCUCUGAUGUUAGCGGCGGACGGGUGAGUAACACGUGGAUAACCUACCUAUAAGACUGGGAUAACUUCGGGAAACCGUAGCUAAUACCGGUUAAUAUUUUGAACCGCAUGGUUCAAAAGUGAGAGACGGUCUUGCUGUCACUUAUAGAUGGAUCCGCGCUGCAUUAGCUAGUUGGUAAGGUAACGGCUUACCAAGGCAACGAUGCAUAGCCGACCUGAGAGGGUGAUCGGCCAAACUGGAACUGAGACACGGUCCAGACUCCUACGGGCGGCAGCAGUAGGGAAUCUUCCGCAAUGGGCGAAAGCCUGACGGAGCAACGCCGCGUGAGUGAUGAAGGUCUUCGGAUCGUAAAACUCUGUUAUUAGGGAAGAACAUAUGUGUAAGUAACUGUGCACAUCUUGACGGUACCUAAUCAGAACGCCACGGCUAACUACGUG